UGUCAGCCAGUGGACAGCCGGAGAGACUGUAAGAUAUGCAAGGCACCCAAGCUUUCCUGAAAUGGAUCCAUGUCAUCCGGCUGUGGGAAAAUGCAGAGGAAUACCUCUUUGAGAUCCUCCUCGUCCAUCGUCCGAGGUUUCAUUCUGGUGUAGUCUACC